rnacentral:rRNA from 1 species
UACAGAGGUCUCAAGCGUUGUUCGGAUUCAUUGGGCGUAAAGGGUGCGUAGGCGGCGCGGUAAGUCGGGUGUGAAAUUUCGAGGCUUAACUUCGAAACUGCAUUCGAUACUGCCGUGCUUGAGGACUGGAGAGGAGACUGGAAUUUACGGUGUAGCGGUGAAAUGCGUAGAUAUCGUAAGGAAGACCAGUGGCGAAGGCGGGUCUCUGGACAGUUCCUGACGCUGAGGCACGAAGGUCAGGGGAGCAAAACGGG